rnacentral:rRNA from 1 species
UACGGGGGGGGCAAGCGUUGUUCGGAAUUACUGGGCGUAAAGGGCUCGUAGGCGGCCAACUAAGUCCGACGUGAAAUCCCCAGGCUUAACCUGGGAACUGCGUCGGAUACUGGAUGGCUUGAAUUCGGGAGAGGGAUGCAGAAUUCCAGGUGUAGCGGUGAAAUGCGUAGAUAUCUGGAGGAAUACCGGUGGCGAAGGCGGCAUCCUGGACCGACACUGACGCUGAGGCACGAAAGCGUGGGGAGCAAACAGG